rnacentral:rRNA from 1 species
CUGCUGCCUCCCGUAGGAGUUUGGGCCGUGUCUCAGUCCCAAUGUGGCCGUCCACCCUCUCAGGCCGGCUACUGAUCGUCGCCUUGGUGGGCCUUUACCCCACCAACCAGCUAAUCAGACGCGGGCCCAUCUUGCACCACCGGAAUUUUUCACACCGGACCAUGCGGCCCUGUGCGCUUAUGCGGUAUUAGCACCUAUUUCUAAGUGUUAUCCCCCAGUGCAAGGCAGGUUACCCACGUGUUACUCACCCGUCCGCCACUAAAG